CGACCGGCGCACGGGUGAGUAACACGUAUGCAACCUGCCUGCCACAGCCGGAUAAUCGGGAGAAAUUCCGUCUAAUACGGCAUAAUGCAUCGACGGGACAUCCUGUUGGUGCCAAAGGUUAAUUCCGGUGGCGGAUGGGCAUGCGUCGCAUUAGUUAGUUGGCGGUGUAACGGACCACCAAGACGACGAUGCGUAGGGGUUCUGAGAGGAAGGUCCCCCACAUUGGAACUGAGACACGGUCCCAACUCCUACGGGAGGCAGCAG
rnacentral:rRNA from 1 species